rnacentral:rRNA from 1 species
GAUGAACGCUGGCGGCGUGCCUAAUACAUGCAAGUCGAGCGAACAGACGAGGAGCUUGCUCCUCUGACGUUAGCGGCGGACGGGUGAGUAACACGUGGAUAACCUACCUAUAAGACUGGGAUAACUUCGGGAAACCGGAGCUAAUACCGGAUAAUAUAUUGAACCGCAUGGUUCAAUAGUGAAAGACGGUUUUGCUGUCACUUAUAGAUGGAUCCGCGCCACAUUAGCUAGUUGGUAAGGUAACGGCUUACCAAGGCAACGAUGCGUAGCCGACCUGAGAGGGUGAUCGGCCACACUGGAACUGAGACACGGUCCAGACUCCUACGGGAGGCAGCAGUAGGGAAUCUUCCACAAUGGGCGAAAGCCUGACGGAGCAACGCCGCGUGAGUGAUGAAGGUCUUCGGAUCGUAAAACUCUGUUAUUAGGGAAGAACAAAUGUGUAAGUAACUAUGCACGUCUUGACGGUACCUAAUCAGAAAGCCACGGCUAACUACGUG